rnacentral:tRNA from 1 species
AAUGAGGUGCCUGAAAAAGGAUUACAAUGAUAGAGUAAAACAUGCACAAAAUAAACGUGCCCUCAUUA